rnacentral:misc_RNA from 1 species
GGAUGAGGUGGAGGGAUCAAACAGCCCCGGCAGGAGAAACUUCCUUCCUCUGGCACCAUUCGCAUUGUAGCUCCCACCUGUCACCGUGUCCACCAGCAGCUCCCCGGCAUAGCCCGGGUAUGCUCCAGUCCCGUAAACCCCUGGACAGGCCGUCGCAGCCUCCAGUGGCGCCUCCUUAGGACCCUGGUAGAACCCAUUCCCGAACGGGUUUGUCACUGCUCCGGCCACCAUGCUGGCGAGGUUGAUCACCAUGCCGUCCACCCCAGCGUCGCCGUUGGGCGCCACCAGUGCUGGUCCCUGCGGGCCGUAGAUGGGCUGGUGGAAGGGCCACGCGCACUGCCCCGGACACUGGGUUGCCGAAUUGCCGACCCAGAGGUAAGUGAACCGGGUUUUUCGAUUGCCGGUCGGUACCGGGGCGGAGGCGUGGGAGCCACAGCGGCUCAUACAGAAGCCGGCAACGGUGACGUCGGAGGCGGUGAGGACGGCAGUGAUCGC